rnacentral:piRNA from 1 species
UACUGCACUGAAGUUUCUUUGAAGUUGGUAGU